ensembl:lncRNA
CGUGAUCACUUUCCAGGCUGCAGUCUUCCGCAAUGCAUCCCCCCACGCGGUCAGGCGAGUCCGCGAAAACUCCCCGGGGCCUCGAAGCUCCCUGCGGCUUUCCUCAAAGAACCCCAGAUUAGCCCUGAUGUUUAGGGCUCUCUAGGUUUUCCACGUCGCAGACGCGGGCUGGGCGCGUCCCGGGCGAGCCCGGCUGGCGCGCACUUGGCAGCCUCCCAGUUGGCCGAGCUGGACGGAGGAGGGGGGUUGGUGGGGCCGAGAUAAACGCCCAUCCCCGCACCUCGAGCAGUCUUUCCACUUUCCCUCCGCUGCCUUGCACUACCCGGCCUGAGACCCGGAAGGCGGCGCCUGUUGAGUCACGGUCACGUGGCCACGGAUGCGCAGAGGCUGACAACGCCUCGGCGGCUAGGUCGCUCGGGGCCCUAGUGGAAAAUUUUCAGAGACCUACUGCGGCUGCGCGCCCGUGGCCCCGCCCCCACCUCCCUUCCCUCUGUUCCCCGCACCUACCCCGGCCCCCAGCCUUCCGGCGGCGGCCCGAGCCGCCUCUGCAGAGGUUCCUUUCUCCCACGAGAGCAGCGCUCCGCGCGCCCCGCCCGCCUGGCGCCGCCCGCGCCUUGGCCCUCCGGCCGGCAGUCUUCGCUUCCUUCGUGCCCCACCUUGGAGCUCCGAGCCGCCGUGCGGCCUUGCCCGCGACCUUGCUUGUACCCCGCUGGCAUCCUGAAAGUGGACAUGGCCCCAUCUGCCCAGGAGCUCUGAAACUACUGCAGCCAACAUGUGCCCAUGCCAGGAGAUAUCUCUGCAUGCUGAAGAUGACAGAAUGAAAAGAUGGUGACCUCUCAGUCUUUGAGGAGAUUAAAAGGCUAAGAAUUAAUUCUAGGUCUGCUCUAUCUGUAGACUUUCUAUUAUAUGAGAUACUAAGUAUCAUUAUUUAAGCCACUUCUAAUUGCAUAUUGUGUUUCUUACAAUAAACAGUUUUCUGCAACUGACAACCUUUCUGGGUGGUACCUAGCCUCCAGAAAGGCCCCAAUGAUCCUUACCUCCUGGUAUUCAUGUCUUUGUAUAAUCCCCUUCUACAUUGAAUCCAGGCUUGCUUUUGUGACCGGGAGAAUAUGGUGGAAAUAUAAGUGUGACUUCCAAGUCUGCUUUAUAAAGACAUUG